AAGCACUUGUCAUUGUCCUUUUUCUAUAUUUUAUGGUAUAUUUGGACUUGCAGGAACAAGGAAAACUGUGAAGAAAGAGCCUUUCUCUGCCAUUAAUGUGGUCUUGUAUUGUAAAAGUUUGAUUUCAAUGUGCAGGGUAACUUACAGUUCAAAAAACAAAGAAAAGUCUUGAUAUUAGCAAGAUAAGCAAGUGUAGACCUUUAGAGAGAAGGAAAUGCAGGGGAUCCAAGCUUCUUUUGAAAAAAUAGAGAAGGUGGAUGGAUUCCCUACAGAGUCUUGACCCUAGCAACCCUUGCCCCUAAAUUCUUUAUGAACAUUAGCUUGGAUAACAUGCAGCAAACUUUGAAUCUUAUACUCUUUGAUGCUUGUGCUGUUUUGGUUCCUUCGUUUCAAAAUGUACGAAAAAAGAAAGGCAAGACAAAGAACUUUGUGGUGUUUUGAAUGCAGUAGAAAUCAUGUGUUGGAAAGCAAGUAAACAUUGAAACUGGAAGCUUUUACUGCCAAAGAACUGAUUUCUUUCAGCCUACUAAAUUCAGGCAUGGAUCAAGAGCUGGCUGAUUAGUGGAAAUUUAAAGAACUUAAAGUUCUUCUAGGUAGCUAACAGUUAAGAACUAAAGGAUUGCAUCCACAGUAGUAAAAUAAGCAAAGUCCAGACCUUUAUAGAAUCUUCCAACUGGCAACCAAUCCUGCUUGAGGAAAGCUGCAAGGGUAGAAGAACGAAAUGGAGGGGAUUCAUUCUGUUUUGAUUGUAAACAUAAAGAUGGGUCCAUUUCUGGUUGUUUGAGCUGGACUAGGGAGGCUGGAAUAGAAGUAACACAGAGGUGGCAGAUCGAGCUGAUGAAGGACAUUCAGAUGUUUAGGAACCAGUUGACAGAUGUUUCGGGUUCGGAGAGGAGUUCAGACGUCUUCUGAUAGAGCCUCAAUCUCCAGCAACCAUUGCUCCUAUCUUCUUUAUGAACUUUAGCUUCGAUAACACAGUUGUUGAAUAGAAUAGUACAAUAGUUGUUGAUGAUUCUGCUUUCUUUAAACGGCUCUGUUUUUACUAAUUAAAUGCCACGACAGUAGAGUGACGCCCUUUCAUUAAUUUGAUAGUUUUCGCUUGAUAGCUGUUGGUCCUUUCCAGUUGUCAA